CAGUAUAAUAGAAUUCGUUAUUACAUCAGCUGAAAAUCAGUUACUAUCAUAUUUUCGCACCUCUCUAAUGGCGAGCGUAUGGCUUUCCUCAUCGUCUCUGCUUGCUUCGAAACCGCCGAUUGACAGUUCGUCAACUGCGUUCUUAUCUCCACAUCGCUUCAGUUUAAAUUCGAAAAAAAUUGGAGCGCGCAGAAUUGCAUGUGAUUACUCCUGCUUCGAAAUAAAGGGUGUCAGUUAUCGACCUCCAGGAACUGUCGCUGAUCUUCUGAAUGGAAUCAGCUUCUCCUUACCUGAGAAAAGUUUUGGUCUGAUCUUUGGACGAAGCGGAAGUGGGAAAACAACACUUUUGCAGCUGAUUGCAGGACUAAGUAAACCAACAUCAGGCUCAAUCUAUGUUCAAAGAUACGGUGAAGAUGGUCAUCCAAAUCAAUCUCCCAAAAUGUUGCAACCCAGAAGAGUUGGUAUUGUUUUCCAAUUUCCCGAAAGGUUUUUCAUUGCAGACAAUAUUCUUGAUGAAAUUAUAUAUGGGUGGCCAAGACAAAGAGCUGGCCUGCAAUUGAGAGAGCUUCUUGCUUCAAGGCUCCAAAAAGCUAUGACCUCGGUUGGUCUAACUGGAAUCCCAUUGGACAAAGAUCCCCAAUCACUGAGUGGUGGAUACAAACGUCGGCUCGCCCUCGCAAUUCAGUUGGUUCAAACCCCAGACCUAUUAAUACUGGAUGAGCCUCUUGCUGGUCUAGAUUGGAAGGCCCGUGCAGAUGUUGUUAAAUUGUUGAGAGACCUGAAGAAGGAGCUGGCAUUGCUUGUUGUCAGCCAUGACCUUAAAGAGUUGGCACCUCUAGUAGAUCAGUCAUGGAGGAUGGAAAUGGGUGGAGUAUUGAAGAGAGAAUGCCUGCCUAUUUGAUUAUGUGUUGUCACUUUCUAAUCAACCAAUGCUGCUGUAAUUAAGGGACAAGAACAGAAGCAUCUAGAAGAAAUUCUUGGACACAUGGAUAGUGCUGAAGAGUCUGGUUUAUUCAAGAAGUCCAUUUAGUAAUUACAUGCUGAAGAGUGUGUCAUGCUGGACAGCUGUGUGAAUGUAAACUACUGUUAUGUUACACCGAAAAAUAUUUUUCGGCGGAUAACCACAACCAUGCACUGCCCAUGCUCAAUAUAUAAAGAGUUUGAAUAUAGAAGUUUUCCUCAGCUGACGGUGCUGUCUAUGCAGAUUGAUUACUACUAGUGUUCUAUCAGAGUUCUCAAACUAAUGCCCUAGUCUGCCCCUAGGAUAUGAUGUUAACCACUCUAUAUUCUUUUUUCCUUUCCCUAGUUGGUCUCAUUUAUCAGACCACUACUGUUAGAGCCGUAUGAUUUCAACUAGAGUAGCAUAUUAAUGUUCUAAAUCCUGUUUUAAAUGGCAAUCUGUGAAGUUUGGAUUACGACAACUUGAUUUUCAUCCCAUCAGUGAGUACUGAUGCUUUUGUACUUUUAUGCUUGACCAUACUUUGACAUCUUAUUGUGAAUGCUAUCUUACAAAUAUUAAUUGUUAUCA